rnacentral:rRNA from 2 species
GACCCCGGCGACUGUUCGAGUUUUGUCAGGGAGAUUAUGGUGGUGACCCUUGCUACGAAGCGGUCUUUUCCGACCAAGGUUGGGACGGUCUACCACCUCUCUCAAUAUACAAGG